CAGUCGAACGGUAACAGGAGAAGCUUGCUUCUUGCUGACGAGUGGCGGACGGGUGAGUAACGCGUAGGAAUCUGCCCAUCUGUGGGGGAUACCAGUUGGAAACGACUGUUAAUACCGCAUAAUAUCUGCGGAUUAAAGGUGGCCUUUGUGCUGCCGCAGAUGGAUGAGCCUGCGUUGGAUUAGCUUGUUGGUGGGGUAAAGGCCUACCAAGGCUACGAUCCAUAGCUGAUUUGAGAGGAUGAUCAGCCACAUUGGGACUGAGACACGGCCCAAACUCCUACGGGAGGCAGCAGUGGGGAAUAUUGGACAAUGGGCGAAAGCCUGAUCCAGCAAUGCCAUGUGUGUGAAGAAGGCUCUAGGGUUGUAAAGCACUUUAGUUGGGGAGGAAAGCUUAUGAGUUAAUAGCUCAUAAGAAGGACGUUACCCAAAGAAUAAGGACCGGCUAACUCCGUGCCAGCAGCCGCGGUAAUACGGGGGGUCCGAGCGUUAAUCGGAAUUACUGGGCGUAAAGGGUCUGUAGGUGGUUUGUUAAGUCAGAUGUGAAAGCCCAGGGCUCAACCUUGGAACUGCAUUUGAUACUGGCAAACUAGAGUAUGGUAGAGGAAUGGGGAAUUUCUGGUGUAGCGGUGAAAUGCGUAGAGAUCAGAAGGAACACCAAUGGCGAAGGCAACAUUCUGGACCGAUACUGACACUGAGGGACGAAAGCGUGGGGAUCAAACAGGAUUAGAUACCCUGGUAGUCCACGCUGUAAACGAUGAGUACUAGCUGUUGGAUUCGG
rnacentral:rRNA from 1 species